GAGUUUAUUACUUACUAUGCAGUCGAUCAAUUUACUUGAACUGCGAAAGAAAUAAUUUUUUUAUGUCGUUUUCAAUUUUUCAAUAAAGCAAUAUUUUAAAGCUAAAAAAUGAAUAUUCCAACCGUACUUCAGUGCUGUUGUUGUAUUAAUUUGAGACUUGGUGGAUUAAUAAUCGGUUGGUUGGGUUUAAUUGUUUGUUGUAUUUCCCUGAUUGGGGGCCUAUUAAAUGGACAAGGAGCAGCAGCAGCUUCAUAUAUUCUUCCGAUUAUUCUAUAUGCCUCUAUGGAAUUUUUAAGAAUAAAUCACCCUUUAUGCUCCCAAUCGUUAUUAUAAAUGGACUAGGGCUCAUUUUUGUGUACUUAUGGCCAAUUCUGUAUUUAAUUCUUGUAUUGGACAGCUCUGAAAAAGUAAAUAUUGAUGGUGGACAAAUCGCAGGUCUUAUUAUUGGUUAUUGCAUGUUUGCAGUUUUGUUUACCUACUGGUUUAUCGUACUACGUUCCAUCUACGGAAAAAUCAAAGACGACGGAUCAGCUACAAACACAAGACAUACAUCGCCAGCUUGAAUGAAAAAAUAAUAAAUUUGUUUGCCAUAUUAAAUUUCAAUUCGAUAAAAUUAUAAUCAAAUCCUGAACGAAAUUUAAUUUAAGGUGUAAGUGUGAAGAUGAUUUUUGGUUCGUUCGAAAUUAAAGCA